rnacentral:rRNA from 1 species
UACAGAGGUCUCAAGCGUUGUUCGGAUUCAUUGGGCGUAAAGGGUGCGUAGGCGGCUUUGCAAGUCGGGUGUGAAAUCCCCAGGCUUAACCUGGGAACUGCAUUCGAGACUGCAUUGCUAGAGUAUGGGAGAGGGAAGUGGAAUUUCCGGUGUAGCGGUGAAAUGCGUAGAUAUCGGAAGGAACAUCAGUGGCGAAAGCGACUUCCUGGACCAAUACUGACGCUCAUGUGCGAAAGCGUGGGGAGCAAACAGG